ACUUUUAUUUCUAAAACUGUUAAAAAAAAUGCUUUUAUGUCCAAAGGUAGAAACAGUUUGGUUUAUGUGGUGGGAUCACCGAUUGCGAUUAUAGUGAGUAAAAAGGUGUUGUCCUGAAUCCAAUGGCUUCAUGCCCAACUCAAGCAUUCAUUCACUCUACUCUUUUUUGCUCUUCCCUCUUCAAUAGACGCUAUGCAGUUUCUUCUUCACCUUCUUGGUACUAGCGAGGUGAUUGCGGGUACCCUUUUUACUCUGCUUUUUUGCGUUUAAGAAUUCUCUCUUCUUUGAAUUGUUUCAGAUGGAGAUUCACAAGGGCUGUAAUCGCCAACAAGUUGUUUAUCAACAAUGUAAAAGUUCGUCUUUUGAGUAACUGUUUUGACGGUUAUGUUGUGGACUAGGCGUGUGUGAAAUUUCAUGGUUUUUUGGAAUUCAAGAACCAUCUUCUCUUUUCUUGACAUGUUCUCGUGUUCAAGAGUGCUCUUCUUUUUUCCUGAUAAUUUGAUUCAAAAUGUUUCCUGGAAUUCUUGAAUCGGCUUAUAUUUUCUUGAUAAGUCGGCGGUAACAGCCGAUUUCAAGAACACUUUAUCUUUUCUUGACUAGUCAAUAUUCAAAAUCGUUUCUGGAAUUCAAGAAUCAUCUUCUCUUACUUGAUAAGUCUGUAAAAGCGCUUUCUCUGAUCUUUGGACAGUUGGGAAACUAGAAUCUUGAUGAUGAUUUAACAGAUUCGUUAAGUUUUUGGUUUUUCUGAUUUUGCCAUGCAAUUAUUUGUUUAUUUUAAGUAACUUGUUUUUCAGUUAGGAAGCACGUUAUAACCUGAACCUUGAGUCUCAAAACCACAUUAUGUACACUUGUUUUGAUAUAUUGAUUUAUGUACUAAUUAUUCUUUUACUUGUGUCUAUUGUUUCUUAGUAGUACAGUAUAUAUGAAGGCAUGACCAUGUGGUCUGUCUCUUAAGUCUAUUAUCUUUAACUUCAUUGAGGAUAUGUCAGCUCAGAACAUAUGCCCCAAAGGACUUGAUAGCCUUGUCAGUCUACAAGUUUUAUGCUAUGAGAGGCCACUUUAUUUGUAUGUACAGCGAUUUGCUUGCUAAUGAUGGGAUCAGCUACAUGAGAUGAUUCCAUGCACAAAGGAGUGAUAUCUAAGCCAACUUUUACAGGUAAUUCAUGUUUGCUUGACGGAACAUUUUUUGAGGAAACCUUUGAACAGCUUCUUAGGGUGGACACAAGUUCCUGUUAACACAUUCAGGGAGGGGGCUGUUCAUGGGGGGACAAAGUGAAGGCGUUUAGAGAUGAGCUUUCCUUGCUUCAGAAAACGCGACAUUUGGAUGUUGUUGGGGUGGAUAAAAGUUGCUGCUAAAACCAUUCAGGGGGGAGCUGCCGAAGAGGAUAAAGUUGAGGUCUUUAAACAGCCAAAUAUUUGGAGAUAAGCCUCCUUUGCUUCAGAAGAUACAACAUCCAAAUGUUGUCCAGUUUCUUGGUAUUGUAAAGCGAAGUGGUCCUUCGAUGAUUGACGGAAUAUUUACCAAAGGGAGAUGCUCUGACGAAAUGCGGAGACACAGUAUAAUCUGAUGCUUGCAGCCACACUUCCCUACCUUCCAAUACUAUGGUCAUCAUUAAUGCAAGGAUGCAUCCAUGGCUGAAGGUGAUAAUUGAGCUGUGGGGGGUGCGCGGGGCAUUAAAUGGAUUAGGUGCUCACAUUGAAGUCCUGCAAGACUUCAACAUCAAGAAGCCCGAAAUGAUAUCAGAGUUUGAUCUUCGUGGUCCCCUUUCAAGAAAGAAUAUUGGUUCUAAAUAGACUUGAGGAAUGUGAUCACUUUUCUCUGUUGUUCAAAAUCAGUAAAAAACUUAUCCGCGCAAAGAAAUAAUUCCCUUUUCAUACUUUCACCACCGUUCCUUUCUGUUGUGGGUGCUGUGAGGAUCUCAUCAAAUCCAGUGGAGGAGUUGGGUUCUUGAUUCCGAAUAAAGUUUGCCUUUUCGCGUUCCACUCUCAGCAAAAGUGAAAUACAUAUUGUUGAGGACCGCCCAGAUAUUGCAAACUAAGAGAUGUAUAGAUUCGCUGUGUAAUCAUCCUGGUUUUAGAAACUAAGAAUACAUAUAUGUGUAGACUCAUAAAUCUUGGCUGUUGUCCAGCUACCUCAUUCUCUUAUUACUAAUCGGACGUUUUGUUUUCUGAGUAUAUAAAAUAAAGGAGCAUGCAGUGAUCGGUAGCAGCUGGUAAUAUAUAGAUUUAGGUUCAUAUGGAGUAGUAGAAGUCAAGUCAUUGGACGUUGGAAUGAUGGCGAUGAUAUGUAUAACAUAUGUUGUGAUGGAUGUAGUUUUUAUCACUGUCACUGUGGUCCUCACACUAGAUACAAAGAAGAUUUUCUUGUUAUGGCCAAUAGGAAGUUCAAUUACUACAACCUUGCUUCUUCAUCUCACAUUUUUUGGGUCAUUUCUGUACCCCAACCUGACUCCUCCAAUGCCAAGUGCAUUGGGAUAUCUUCAGACAUCAAAACACGGGCAAUGAAAGAAAACAUUACUUGUCUAUCAACUCUGUGUGAAUCAUUACUCCUAAUUCGAUGAUUCAAAGGCAAAGUGGACAGCCCAUAUGACCUCAAUCAACGGUUUGCAAAUACGUUAUACACAGCUUCUGAUCGAUGCCUUCAUCCUCUCAUCUUUUUGUUCUACCAAUCCAACUCAUACGUGGUAACUUUAAGUUAAAAUGGGUCUGAUCUGAUAAGAAAUUACAUCAUUAUC